rnacentral:rRNA from 1 species
UACGGAGGAUGCGAGCGUUAUCCGGAUUUAUUGGGUUUAAAGGGUGCGUAGGCGGAUUGUUAAGUCAGCGGUAAAAAUUUGGGGCUCAACCCCGUAGUGCCGUUGAAACUGGCGGUCUUGAGUGGGCGAGAAGUAUGCGGAAUGCGUGGUGUAGCGGUGAAAUGCAUAGAUAUCACGCAGAACUCCGAUUGCGAAGGCAGCAUACCGGCGCCCAACUGACGCUGAGGCACGAAAGCGUGGGGAUCGAACAGG